rnacentral:lncRNA from 1 species
GAUUUAUUUAUGCAACAAUGGGGAAUUUCCCGUAUUACCAGAGUAACUUACAAUCCUCAGGGACAAGCUGUGGCGGAACAGGCCAAUUGCACUUUAAAAACUCAAUUGUCCAAACAGUCUGAGCAACAAAAGCAUAAUUUAACCACUCCCCACUCCCAGUUACAUUUAGCAUUGUUUACUUUAAACUUUCUAAAUGUUCCUAAAGACAUACUCUGACUGCAGCUGAACAGGCAAAAAAUUCUCCCUAAAUGAAGGCAAGCCAGUGUUAGGGAAAAACUCCCAGACCAAUACCUGGGAAGCUGGAACAAUUACAACGUGGGGAAGAGGGUAUGCUUGUGUUUCACCAGGAGAUCAUCAAUCCCCUGUCUGGGUGCCCACUAGGAGACUUAAACUUCGUGUGAAUACUGACAAUAAAAACCAUAGGGAAGAGACGUCUGCGUCAGAGACCACCUUCAUACCUGGUAUGCUCCUCUACCUGUUCGGCAUCCCCGGGCACCUAGGAUUGCUUCUUUGUGGCGCAGAACAUUGGGCAUUGCCACUGCCGCUCCUCUCCCUCAGUAUCAACGUAGACUCAAACAUUCUGCUUUGUUUACCGCCAACCUGACUACUCCUAUACAGAGUUGUGUUAAGCCUCCUUACAUGCUGUUAGUGGAAAAUAUCAAAAUUUGGACGAACAAUCAAACUGUCCAAUGCAUUAAUUGUCAUUUAUACACUUGUGUUAACUCCCGUUUUGACUCCAGGAAAAGUAUAAUGUUGGUUCGAGAUCAAGAAGGAAUCUGGAUACCAUGUGCCAGACCAGUCAAAGAAUCCUGUGUCAAAACUGGGAGAACGAACAAGCCUUCAUCGCCAUGGCACAUUUAUAUAAAAAGAAAGGGAGAGAUGUUGCGGGAAGUCAGGGACCCCAAACGGAGGGACCGGCUGGAGCUGCGGCAGAGGAACAUAAAUUGUGAAGAUUUCAUUU